rnacentral:rRNA from 1 species
GACGAACGCUGGCGGCGUGCUUAACACAUGCAAGUCGAACGGAAAGGCCCUGCUUUUGUGGGGUGCUCGAGUGGCGAACGGGUGAGUAACACGUGAGUAACCUGCCCUUGACUUUGGGAUAACUUCAGGAAACUGGGGCUAAUACCGGAUAGGAGCUCCUGCUGCAUGGUGGGGGUUGGAAAGUUUCGGCGGUUGGGGAUGGACUCGCGGCUUAUCAGCUUGUUGGUGGGGUAGUGGCUUACCAAGGCUUUGACGGGUAGCCGGCCUGAGAGGGUGACCGGCCACAAUGGGACUGAGAUACGGCCCAGACUCCUACGGGAGGCAGCAGUGGGGAAUAUUGCGCAAUGGGCGGAAGCCUGAGGCAGCAACGCCGCGUGCGGGAUGACGGCCUUCGGGUUGUAAACCGCUUUCGCCUGUGACGAAGCGUGAGUGACGGUAAUGGGUAAAGAAGCACCGGCUAACUACGUG